rnacentral:sRNA from 1 species
AAACACCAUGAAAACCUGUGGGUAAUUCACUGCAGCCUCUUCUUCAAUGCUGAAAAAAACAUUUUAUAGAGACAACUAUACAUCCUUUGUCCCCCAGAUGGCCAGAAGGUGAAGAUAGAGUGAUUUGAUGAAGACUGCUGCGGGAGAGUUCGCAGAUGAUCCCUGCUCUUCUGUGAAGCGAGGCAACAUGGUUCGGGCAGCUCGAGCUUUGCUCUCUGCUGUUACCCGGUUGCUGAUUUUGGCUGACAUGGCAGAUGUCUACAAAUUACUUGUUCAACUGAAAGUUGUGGAAGAUGGUAUCUUGAAGUUGAGGAAUGCUGGCAAUGAACAAGACUUAGGAAUCCAGUAUAAAGCCCUAAAACCUGAAGUGGAUAAGCUGAACAUUAUGGCAGCCAAAAGACAACAGGAAUUGAAAGAUGUUGGCCAUCGUGAUCAGAUGGCUGCAGCUAGAGGAAUCCUGCAGAAGAACGUUCCGAUCCUGUAUACUGCAUCCCAGGCAUGCCUACAGCACCCUGAUGUCGCAGCCUAUAAGGCCAACAGGGACCUGAUAUACAAGCAGCUGCAGCAGG